rnacentral:rRNA from 1 species
UACGUAGGGGGCAAGCGUUGUCCGGAUUUAUUGGGCGUAAAGAGCGUGUAGGCGGCCAUGCAGGUCCGCUGUGAAAACUCGAGGCUCAACCUCGAGACGUCGGUUGAAACCGUAUGGCUAGAGUCCGGAAGAGGAGAAUGGAAUUCCCGGUGUAGCGGUGAAAUGCGCAGAUAUCGGGAAGAACACCCGUGGCGAAGGCGGUUCUCUGGGACGGUACUGACGCUGAGACGCGAAAGCGUGGGGAGCGAACAGG